rnacentral:rRNA from 1 species
UACGUAGGGUGCAAGCGUUGUCCGGAAUUAUUGGGCGUAAAGAGCUCGUAGGCGGUUUGUCACGUCGGCUGUGAAAACCCGAGGCUCAACCUCGGGCCUGCAGUCGAUACGGGCAGACUAGAGUAUGGCAGGGGAGACUGGAAUUCCUGGUGUAGCGGUGAAAUGCGCAGAUAUCAGGAGGAACACCGGUGGCGAAGGCGGGUCUCUGGGCCAUAACUGGCGCUGAGGAGCGAAAGCGUGGGGAGCGAACAGG